CAUCGGAGUAGGGAAAUCUGCACAAAUAUAACUCGAGGUUUGAUCCGAUCUUCAGAAACCAAACGACCUGUUCGAGUGAUCUACACUCUGUAACUUCGAAGAAUACUUGAAAAAUCAAAGAAACAUUCUCGCAAUGCCUGGACCUUGUGAAAAGUGCAAAGAAAUUUGCCAGGACUGCAACUGCGGAGGUGAUUGCAAAUGCUGUGACACUGCGCAAGAAAAGUGCGAGUGCAAGCAAAAGGGACGAUGCGUUUGUAAGGAAUGCGCCUGCGAAUAAAUUUACACAUAUUUUCAACGCCAUAUCAUCAUCAACGAUCGAAUUAAUAUUAACAUAGAUGUAUACGAUUUACAAUAACUUUCCACACUACUUCGCUGUGUAAAAUAUCGGCAGAAGCUGUACAAUGAACGGAAUUGAAUAAACCACAAAAAAAUCGAA